rnacentral:tRNA from 1 species
CCCUGGUUAGCUCAGUGGUAGAGCGCUCCACCUGUAAUGGAGAGGUCCCGGGUUCGAUACACGGACCAGCGA